rnacentral:rRNA from 1 species
AACGAACGCUGGCGGCAGGUCUAACACAUGCAAGUCGAACGCUCCGCAAGGGGAGUGGCGCACGGGUGAGUAACGCGUGGGAAUCUACCUAUUAGUAAGGAAUAACAGUUGGAAACGACUGCUAAUACCUUAUAUGCCCUACGGGGGAAAGAUUUAUAGCUAAUAGAUGAGCCCGCGUAAGAUUAGCUAGUUGGUGAGGUAAUGGCUCAGCAAGGCUACGAUCUUUAGCUGGCCUGAGAGGAUGAUCAGCCACACUGGAACUGAGACACGGUCCAGACUGCUACGGGAGGCAGCAGUGGGGAAUAUUGGACAAUGGGCGAAAGCCUGAUCCAGCCAUGCCGCGUGAAUGAUGAAGGCCUUAGGGUUGUACAGUUCUUUCGCCGCCGAGGAUAAUGACGGUAAGCGGAUAAGAAGCCCCGGCUAACUUCGUGCCAGCCGCCGCAGUAA